rnacentral:rRNA from 1 species
GAUGAACGCUGGCGGCGUGCUUAACACAUGCAAGUCGAACGGAAAGGCCCGGCUCUUGCUCGGCGCUCGUGUGGCGAACGGGUGAGUAACACGUGUGUAUCCUCUCCUUGUCUUUGUGGUAACUUCUGGAGACUGGGGCUAUUAUCGCAUAUGAGAUCCUGCUCCACGGGGGUGGUUGGUAAGAUUCGGCGGUUGUGGAUCGUUUAGCGGCUUAUGAGCUGGUUUGUGUAGUAGUGGAUUACCAAGGCUUUGAAGGCUAGCCGGCCUUGGAGGGUGACCGGCGACAUUGGGACUACGGUACGCAGCAGUCGCCUACGGGAGGCAAUAGGGGGGAGCAUUGCACAGCAGCCGGAAGCCUGAUGCAGCAACGCCGCGUGCGGGAUACCGGCCUUCGGGUUGUAAACAGCUUUCGCAUGUAACGAAGCGUGAGUGACGGUAAUGGGUAAAGAAGCACCGGCUAACUACGUG